GAUUACAUCUGGAAGGACUAUGUCAGCAAAUCUGGUGUCUCUAGCUGUGACCUCCAGCACCAGGAUGAAAUCUUCAAAUCCAGAGCUACCCCAAGAGAUACCACAGUUUAUGUUUCUAUCUUCACUGUUCACCUCAGUGGCUUCCAGGAGCUCUACAGACAUUUCCUCAGGCUGUCGGAUGGGGCUAUUGUAGAGGCAUUUGGCGAUAUUAGUGGAGUAACUCUUUUAUAUAAUGAAGUGAGCACAACCAUUCAGGAACAUGUAAGUGAAUCGGACAACGUGCUGGGAGCCUCUUCACUUAUCAAGCUGAGGGAAAGAAAAAAGAAUACAGCAAGGUGGAAAGACUUUUGUGCAAGAAGGAAAGAAGACAGAGGAGAGACCGUGCCAUUCAGGUAGCCUCCACGAUGGAUACAGGUCAUGAAGAAAGGAGUAUACUAAAUUCCACAUCACCACUGACAGCCACAAUAUAAUUUUGCACAGUGUUUUUAACUUGCUGAAAAUGUAUUGCAGAAUUACAGGAACAGGAAUGAUUAUUUGAUAAGCAAGUUAUUUUCUAGGCCACCAAAUUUAGAUGGUAAGGGUACUGAGGAGAGGACCUUAAUUUCACACAUAUUUGAUAUAAGAUAUAUAUUACCUGCUGGAAUUAGUGAGGAAUUAGAAUAAAGUUAAAUCAGUCCAAAUCCAUGGAGUAGGUGGUAAAGUAAUUUUCACUACUUUAUAUAUACACUUUUUUGAUCUUAGAAAAUCUUUCCCUUCAAUGGGAGCAAAACAAAAUGUGGGUUAUUAAAAUUCUGAAUGUGUUUAACUCCCCCACAAAAAUCCCUAAAAAAACCCCUCCAGUGAUUUUUCUGAAUUCCCUGGAAGAAGCUAGCCUGGGCCAAAUGCUUCCUUCAUUUGUAUUUGCAAAACUUUCUACAAAUCAACCCAAUCCCUGCAAUGGAGUUAGUAAUAGAUGGGUAUAAUUACCAAGUGGGUAUAUUUCUGUCCUGGCUCUCAUAUGUUUUGCUGACCACCAAAUACUGUUGUGAUGCAUCUUGCUUAUGAGCAAGCCAUCAGUUUAAUGUCAAGUGCAAGAUCAUUGUUAUAAUCAGAGCAGACCAGGGAUUUUGAGAACUGUGAUAGACAAUCUAUACAAGAUAUACAAGGUGAGAACGGUAGGGAUAGAUCUGUUGCUGUGUAAGCUGGUGCUGAAACCAAAAUAAUUUUCUCAAAAAAUAAAAACAAAUAAAAGACUAAAUUAAAUGCUAAUUGACCAAUUUAGCUCAAAUGAAACCAAACAGUGGACUAAAAGGAUUUGUAUUUGAUUAAUUAGCCCAACUUGACUAUCAAUCAGCAUAGAGAACCUGCAAAUUAUAAAAUAAAAUGCCAAGAAUCAGCCACACUUUUAACAUCAUGGGUCAGAUUUUGCCUUCAGUUAAACCCACUGGCCUCACAUAGAUAACAUGGGUAUAAAUUGAAGCAGGAUUUGGUUCAAUAUUUUUUGUAAUCUUAGAAGUCAUGGAACAAUCAAAUAAUAUGACCUUUAGUGGUCCACCAAAGAAUCUAGUUCUGCUCUGUAUGGGAUCCAGAUUAAUCAAUAUCCUAUUAUGAUUGCAGCCUGGGUUUGUUACAGCUGAGGCAUGCUAAGAACUGUCUGGACAGUAUUUUUCUCCUUGCAACAGCAGUGCGGCUGGUUUCACACACUUUCAGCUUGGUACAUUGUUGCUUUAUAAGAAAGCCACAACAUGUGUUUAAGCAAUGUUGUGAAAUCUGGCAUAAAUGUACACAAUCUGGGCCCACUCCUACAUACACUGCCCAGUCAGAACUCUAAGUGCACCCCAAUAUGCUAAAAAACAUGUUAAGAGUCAGAACUCAUCCUGACAAUGAAAUUCAGAUUUUCCUGUCAUUUGCAAUAAGGGCAUUACAUACAGGAAUGUCAGGGAAAGCAAGGGGCAAGGAUUCCCCACAUAGAUGGAUCCAGAAAUUAAAAAAUGGGGGUGUGGGAGAUGCAACUGGCACCACAGGGGUGGCCACAGCCCACUCCUAUCUCCCUUUUCCCCACCAUUGGCAGACUGACAUGGCAGCAACUGUCAGAGACUUUAUUUGAAGUCUCUAAUGGUCCCAGCUGCUGCCUUUAUUGGGGGGCCAGGUACACAAAGGCGGUCAUUGCUGUAGCAGCGGCUGAUCCCAGCACCACAAUUGGCAUGGCAGAAGUUCCCGCUGCCCCAGGCACUGUGCAGCUGCCCAGGCAUGGAACGACACUGCUACACCUACGCAGGAAGCAUAUUUGGGCUUCUAUUAUCUGACCUUAAGUGAGAAUCUGAUGGAGAUGGUGACAACUCAACACAGUAAGAGGCAAGUCCAGGUAAGUUGAGAACAUGGCCCCUAUCUACUCACUGAUCCUUUACCAUGAUAAUAAAAAAUACAUGAAUGCUAUUUUCUUGCUCUUUCUCUCUUUUGGUUAACUUGCACGUGAAUGCACAGAAUGUUGCAAAGCUCUUUUAAAUGAAGUUUGGCUCCAGAUGUGCUCCUCAGCAAAGGCCUGAGAUCUGGCAUGCCAAGUUCCAGCUCAGUUUGUAUCUUUACAAGUGAAAUAAUGAAUGGCCCUUAACUAUUGUGGCAUAAGCGGUGACUGCAAGUGUUUGAAUGAAGCUGACCUUUUACAUACUAAUGUUCCAUAGCUGCUAAUAAAAAAAGCAUUUUUUUUCAGAGAUGGGAGUAGAAAGAAAUAUUGCUAAUACUUUAGUAAGAUGUAUGCAUUCUAGCUGCAAUGAAACAAGAAAGGUCAAAUUUUCUCACUCAACUCUCCCCCCUUUCUUUUUCUUGCAUUGUCUAACUUCUUUCCCAUCUUUGUUGUACUAAUGAAAUUAAGAUAUCCUUCAUGAUAUAACUGUGAGCUAAGGGGAUCUAAAUUACCUUCAUCUGGCAUCAUUCCAGUAUACUAUAAAUGAGGUAAUUGUCCUUGACUAUAAAAUUUGCAUUUUCAAGACUUAAUUGCUAUCAUUACAUCUUUUUGUAAUUCUAUUAAUUUAACUGAAUGGAGCAUUUGGUUUUAUGGUAAAAAUUUGCAUUAAAACAUUGUACAUCUAAAUAGAAUUUUAAUAUUUGCGUUGAAAGCUCAGUACAGUUAUCCCACAGGACCUAAAUAAUUUCACAAGAAAAGAAUAAGUAGCAGUUGCACUUUAGGUCAACAAACUGGUUUUCUUUAGGUGAAUAUUAAUAGACUGUUACCAGUAUAGUGCAGCCACCUGACAAAUGCUUCUGUUUGGGUUCUGUGAAUUCAUUGUUCCAAUAUGCUCUAUGGGUUCUUUCUGCAUAAUUAUUAACAGGAAGGACAUUCUUGAGAUGCAGUUGAAGUUGGGUGCUUGCUUAUAUGUUUUGUCUCAGAAGUAUUUCAUAGGCAUAAACACUAGAUAUGUUGUAUUUCAAAAGCAUUGUUGUAUUUCCUCAAAACUUCUCCUUAGAGUGUUAGUACACAUGCUUUGCUGUCAGCCAAGUCUCAAAAGAACCUAUGUAAUACUGUGAUAGAAUAUUCUUAUGUGCAUAAUAUUCUUGAUCACUAGCCAAGGUCUACUGCACAAGUUAUAGGACCAGUUCAUUGCUUAGCAGUUCAGUAUUUGAUUGGGAAAUACUCCUCAGAACCUGUCUGGCCAUUUCACAAACAGGUGGCUAUGUCCUUAAUGGAUUUUCUUUGAAUGUGGAACAUUUCUAGAAGAUUAACCACAGUACAUUUAUGCAGUUAAUACUGCGUAAUAUUUUACUUAACAACUCCAUAACCUUUGAGACCUUUUGUAUUUUUUUUUUCUUUUGCUAGCAUAGUUUGGUUGUGGGCAGAUGGUGGGUGCAUUUACAUGUGCAAUUACCCCAACUGAAUAAACUCUGAUGCAGUUUGUGCCAGAAUCAGCUGCUUCUGGGCACAGUGUCUUCAUGUGUGCCCAAGACUACAGCUAGGGUGGAGCAGCCACAGGCUGGCAGGGUACUCAGGGGGUCAGCCCGAGGCUCUGAGUGGUGGCAUCGGGUGGCAAAGAGGCUGGCUGGGGCAUAAGGGUGCUACAGUGUGGGGCAACCAGCAGGCAGCCCCUGCACUGUAGCACUUUCGUGUCCUAGCCAGCCCCAGUCAUUGUCUACACGUGUGCUUUAUUACACUAAAUGACUCCACCAUAGGAUAGUACUUGUCCUGGGCAGUACUAUCCUAUGGCAGAAUUAUUUUAUUUACUGUGCCCAAAUAGGGGCACACAUGUAGAUGGUGAUGCUUUACUGUGGAGCUAAUUAGUCAACUGCAGUAAAGUGCACAUGUAAACGCACCCUGUGAAUAGAAGUCUGAGACCAUGUCCCAUAGACCAACACAAGUAGGUCAAAUACAUUGCUAGCUGGACGAAUAUCAAAUGUAUUUUGUGACAGUAUCAGUCAUGAUUGCCAUGUAAGAGUAAGGCACAGAGUAUAAAUAGUUCAGAGCAAAGACCAUAUUUUUGUCAUGAGCUUAAUGUGAAGGGACUCAAAGCCCAGAGUUAUCUAAACACCUAACUCCAGUAGAAAUCAAGGCCUUUGAGAAAUGGAGACCUUGUCUUUGUGUAAGGCUCCUAGGUGCUGGUGAUGACGAAAUCAUCAGGGCUGUCCAACGGCCAGUCCAACGGGCUGCCUAUAGGCCACACAACGCUCACAAAGGGCCAACCUGUGGCUAUCACUCUUCUCAGUCCUCUGACUGCUGUUGCAGCCUGAGUCUCCAGUCUCCCCGUCCCUUCUCUGACUUUCACUUCUUGAGGAGACUUCAGUAUGGUGCAAUGUAGGAGCCCUCAGCCAAGGACUAGAGGGGGGCAUCCUCCAGCAUAGUGCAGCAAUGAGGCGACUGCCCAGCUG